GAGAGGAACUUGUUCCUCGAGUCGUUGAUUUCACACUGCCGAGAAAAGCCUCUAGCUAGAAUAACGGUGCCCGUACCGCAAACCGACACAGGUAGUCAAGAUGAGAAUUCUAAGGUGAGCGAGCGAACUCUCGUUAAGGAACUCGGCAAAAUGACCCCGUAACUUCGGGAGAAGGGGUGCUCUUUGAGGUUCACGCUUCGAAGAGCCGCAGUGAAUAGGCCCAAGCGACUGUUUAUCAAAAACACAGGUCUCUGCUAAACCGUAAGGUGACGUAUAGGGGCUGACGCCUGCCCGGUGCUGGAAGGUUAAGAGGAGUGGUUAGCGCAAGCGAAGCUACGAAUCGAAGCCCCAGUAAACGGCGGCCGUAACUAUAACGGUCCUAAGGUAGCGAAAUUCCUUGUCGGGUAAGUUCCGACCCGCACGAAAGGCGUAACGAUUUGGGCACUGUCUCAACGAGAGACUCGGUGAAAUCAUAGUACCGGUGAAGAUGCCGGUUACCCGCGACAGGACGGAAAGACCCCGUGGAGCUUUACUGUAGCCUGAUAUUGAAAUUCGGUACAGUUUGUACAGGAUAGGUAGGAGCCUUAGAAGCGUGAGCGCUAGCUUACGUGGAGGCAUUGGUGGGAUACUACCCUAAUUGUAUUGGAUUUCUAACCCGCAGCACUUAUCGUGCUGGGAGACAGUGUCAGGCGGGCAGUUUGACUGGGGCGGUCGCCUCCUAAAGAGUAACGGAGGCGCUCAAAGGUUCCCUCAGAAUGGUUGGAAAUCAUUCAUAGAGUGUAAAGGCAUAAGGGAGCUUGACUGCGAGACCUACAAGUCGAGCAGGGUCGAAAGACGGACUUAGUGAUCCGGUGGUUCCGCAUGGAAGGGCCAUCGCUCAACGGAUAAAAGCUACCCCGGGGAUAACAGGCUUAUCUCCCCCAAGAGUUCACAUCGACGGGGAGGUUUGGCACCUCGAUGUCGGCUCAUCGCAUCCUGGGGCUGUAGUCGGUCCCAAGGGUUGGGCUGUUCGCCCAUUAAAGCGGUACGCGAGCUGGGUUCAGAACGUCGUGAGACAGUUCGGUCCCUAUCCGUCGUGGGCGUAGGAAAUUUGAGAGGAGCUGUCCUUAGUACGAGAGGACCGGGAUGGACAUACCUCUGGUGUACCAGUUGUCGUGCCAACGGCAUAGCUGGGUAGCUAUGUAUGGACGGGAUAAGUGCUGAAAGCAUCUAAGCAUGAAGCCCCCCUCGAGAUGAGAUUUCCCAACUUCGGUUAUAAGAUCCCUCAAAGAUGAUGAGGUGAAUAGGUUCGAGGUGGA
rnacentral:rRNA from 1 species